UAUGGCUCAGGAUGAACGCUGGCGGCGUGCCUAAUACAUGCAAGUCGAGCGAACAGACGAGGAGCUUGCUCCUUUGACGUUAGCGGCGGACGGGUGAGUAACACGUAGGUAACCUACCUAUAAGACUGGGAUAACUUCGGGAAACCGGAGCUAAUACCGGAUAAUAUUUCGAACCGCAUGGUUCGAUAGUGAAAGAUGGCUUUGCUAUCACUUAUAGAUGGACCUGCGCCGUAUUAGCUAGUUGGUAAGGUAACGGCUUACCAAGGCAACGAUACGUAGCCGACCUGAGAGGGUGAUCGGCCACACUGGAACUGAGACACGGUCCAGACUCCUACGGGAGGCAGCAGUAGGGAAUCUUCCGCAAUGGGCGAAAGCCUGACGGAGCAACGCCGCGUGAGUGAUGAAGGUCUUCGGAUCGUAAAACUCUGUUAUUAGGGAAGAACAAACGUGUAAGUAACUGUGCACGUCUUGACGGUACCUAAUCAGAAAGCCACGGCUAACUACGUGCCAGCAGCCGCGGUAAUACGUAGGUGGCAAGCGUUAUCCGGAAUUAUUGGGCGUAAAGCGCGCGUAGGCGGUUUUUUAAGUCUGAUGUGAAAGCCCACGGCUCAACCGUGGAGGGUCAUUGGAAACUGGAAAACUUGAGUGCAGAAGAGGAAAGUGGAAUUCCAUGUGUAGCGGUGAAAUGCGCAGAGAUAUGGAGGAACACCAGUGGCGAAGGCGACUUUCUGGUCUGUAACUGACGCUGAUGUGCGAAAGCGUGGGGAUCAAACAGGAUUAGAUACCCUGGUAGUCCACGCCGUAAACGAUGAGUGCUAAGUGUUAGGGGGUUUCCGCCCCUUAGUGCUGCAGCUAACGCAUUAAGCACUCCGCCUGGGGA
rnacentral:rRNA from 1 species